CAUGGUGGCCUUACCACCAUGGACACACCCGAUCUCGUCUGAUCUCGGAAGCUAAGCAUGGUCGGGCCUGGUUAGUACCGGGAUGGGAGACCGCCUGGGAAUACCAGGUGCUGUAAGUG
ensembl:rRNA 5S_rRNA 5S ribosomal RNA